rnacentral:rRNA from 1 species
AUUGAACGCUGGCGGCAGGCCUAACACAUGCAAGUCGAACGGUAACAGGAAGAAGCUUGCUUCUUUGCUGACGAGUGGCGGACGGGUGAGUAAUGUCUGGGAAACUGCCUGAUGGAGGGGGAUAACUACUGGAAACGGUAGCUAAUACCGCAUAACGUCGCAAGACCAAAAAGGGGGACCUUCGGGCCUCUUGCCAUCGGAUGUGCCCAGAUGGGAUUAGCUAGUAGGUGGGGUAACGGCUCACCUAGGCGACGAUCCCUAGCUGGUCUGAGAGGAUGACCAGCCACACUGGAACUGAGACACGGUCCAGACUCCUACGGGAGGCAGCAGUGGGGAAUAUUGGACAAUGGGCGCAAGCCUGAUGCAGCCAUGCCGCGUGUAUGAAGAAGGCCUUCGGGUUGUAAAGUACUUUCAGCGGGGAGGAAGGGAGUAAAGUUAAUACCUUGGCUCAUUGACGUUACCCGCAGAAGAAGCACCGGCUAACUCCGUG